UACAGAGGGUGCGAGCGUUAAUCGGAAUUACUGGGCGUAAAGCGUGCGCAGGCGGAUUGUUAAGCAAGACGUGAAAUCCCCGGGCUUAACCUGGGAAUGGCGUUUUGAACUGGCAGUCUAGAGUGCGUCAGAGGGGGGUGGAAUUCCACGUGUAGCAGUGAAAUGCGUAGAGAUGUGGAGGAACACCGAUGGCGAAGGCAGCCCCCUGGGAUGACACUGACGAUCAUGUACGAAAGAGUGGGUAGCAAACAGG
rnacentral:rRNA from 1 species